rnacentral:lncRNA from 1 species
GACAGGUAGUGGUUGGUUCGAAUCUUUGGGGACCCUAGGGGUGAAGAGGAGCUCAGUGCGCCCAGAAGAGAAAACUAACUCUUCUAUCCAUGGGAGGCAAAGAGGGUAGGAAAAUCCCAACCUCAGUCUCCCCUCUGGGCCAAGCGAGAUUAUUCGCACCCCUUGGGCAAGGCUUCUGUCCGGGCUCGGGGUGAGGGUGGGGUGCGCUGUGGAGGCGAUUGCCCGGCUGUUGCCAGCUCCCCCACCUCAACAACCCCCCCCCCCCCGCUUCGGACUCCUGGUCGGCUGGCAUUCAAAAACCCUGGGCAGUGAUUUCCAAGCGCAACCAGGCUCUUCAGGAAACUGCGGUCGCCUCCCGCCCGAAAGAAGUGCUCGGAGGUGCCAGUCCGCUCCCAGGUCCUGUCCACGCCUGUCGCCCAGAUGGAGAAACUGAGGUGGAGUACGGUUAAGAGACUUGCCCAGGGUCACCCUGCAUCUGAGCACCAAAUCUGGGGCCAUGCCAGCUGCUACAACUCUCUGUCUGACAACUAGAGACCAGGACCUGGACCUCCACCUUCUGUUUCCUGUUGCUUAGCCCAAAUUCUGGCUCUACCGUUUCCAAGAUGUGACUCAGGUAAGUCACUUCAUCUCUCUAGGCCUCCGUUUGCAAAUGAAGAAAUCAACACUAUCAGUAAUCAUAUUAAAAUGUUCCAAGUCCCUCUUGAUUAGAGAAAUGCAAAUUAAAACAACUCUGAGGUACCCCGUCAUACCUAUCAGACUGGCCAUUAUG